rnacentral:rRNA from 1 species
UAAGGAAUAUUGCUCAAUGGGCGAAAUCCUGAAGCAGCAACGCCGCGUGGAGGAUGAAGGGCUUUCAGCUUGUAAACUCCUGUAAAGAAGGAAAAAAUUCCCAUUAGAUGGGAAAUGAUGGUACUUCUAAAGUAAGCACCGGCUAACUACGUGCCAGCAGCCGCGGUAAUACGUAGGGGGCAAGCGUUGUCCGGAUUUACUGGGUGUAAAGGGUGCUCAGUCGGAUUUGUAAGUCAGAGGUGAAAUCUCACAGCUUAACUGUGAAACUGCCUUUGAUACUGCAAGUCUAGAGUAUGGAAGAGGGUGGUGGAAUGUCUGGUGUAGCAGUGAAAUGCGUAGAUAUCAGAUAGAACACCAAUGGCGAAGGCAGUCACUUGGUCCAUUACUGACGCUAAAGCACGAAAGCGUGGGUAGCAAACA